UCUGCAAACAAAUAACAAAUAAAAGAAAAGAAAAUCGAAUUCUCCCCCUCAACCCACGUUAGAAAAGCCGCCCUCUCUCCCCUAAAUCUCUCCCAUAUCUUUUAACCACUUCCCUCUAUAUUAACCACUUCACAAAUUCAUUCUUUCUCAUACCGUUCUCUGCAGCAAGAAACCAAGACAGAUUCUUAACAACUUCAAUUCAAGAAACCGAGAACCCAACUCGACAGGGGAAAUUACCAUGUAUUCGCUCAAAAUCUGUUCAAGGUAUAUGAUCACUUGUUUCCUCAAUUUCAGUCACAUUCUGUGCAUACCAUGUAAGCAACGCAACUUACGAUAACGGUAACUAAAUCUAAUCAGUAGCACGAACAAUUAAGUAAAAAGGAAACGAACUUUAAUUUCACCAAAACAAGUAAGAACUUAACUGUAAGUUUGAAAUCGAGAAUCUCGGGUUGGUUUCGGGGCACCGACGCUGACCGAACUCAACGGCGAAGGCAAACUGACCGCAGCCUGCGGUGACGACGGCAGCGGCGCCGUGGCGACGAAUGCAGCAGAGGCUGACCGACGGGAGGCUGCAGACGACGGCAGUUUUGGACGCGCGACGGCGCCGACAGGACCGUGGCGACCGCAAUUUUUCUUCCCGGUGAGCAGCGGCCGGCGACGGUGGAAGGCGACGGUGAAUCGGAGAAUCGACGGUUUCUGUUUUGGGGCUUUCUCUUUAAUUGGGAGUUUUCGUUUUCUUGUGAGAAAAAUCGAGAGAGAUGGAGGUGAAUUUGGAACUUCGUUUUGUUAGUAGCUGCAAUUUGUGGGAGAAUACAGUAGAGAGAGAGGGGGAGGGAAGCCGACGUUUUGUUUAGAGAAUGAGAGUAUUAAUAUGUUUUGUUACUUUUGCAGUAAGGUUUACUUAAUUUUUGUUUGUGUAUGUUGGGGAGGGAGUAUACGUGACAAAAAAAGGCAGUAUAUUUUUUUUAUUUUUUCUUUGGGCCUGCUCUUUUAUUUUUUAAAAGCAAUUGGGCCACAUUAAUAAAUUAGAUGUUUUGUUA